rnacentral:rRNA from 1 species
CUCGAAUCGCACGGCCUUGCGCCGGCGAUGGUUCAUUCAAAUUUCUUCCCUAUCAACUUUCGAUGUUUGGGUAGUGGCCAAACAUGGUUGCAACGGGUAACGGAGGGUUAGGGCUCGACCCCGGAGAAGGAGCCUGAGAGACGGCUACUACAUCCAAGGAAGGCAGCAGGCGCGCAAAUUACCCAAUCCCGACACGGGGAGGUAGUGACAAUAAAUACCGAUAUAGGGCUCUUUUGGGUCUUAUAAUUGGAAUGAGUACAAUUUAAAUCCCUUAACGAGGAACAAUUGGAGGGCAAGUCUGGUGCCAGCAGCCGCGGUAAUUCCAGCUCCAAUAGCGUAUAUUAAAGUUGUUGUGGUUAAAAAGCCCGUAGUUGAACCUUGGGCCUGGCUGGCCGGUCCGCCUCACCGCGUGCACUGGUCCGGCCGGGCCUUUCCCCCCGCGGAACCCCAUGCCCUUCGCUGGGCGUGGCGGGGAAACGGGACGUUUACUUUGAAAAAAUUAGAGUGCUCCAGGCAGGCCUAUGCUCGAAUACAUUAGCAUGGAAUAAUGAAAUAGGACGCGCGGUUCUAUUUUGUUGGUUUCUAGGACCGCCGUAAUGAUUGAUAGGGACAGUCGGGGGCGUCAGUAUUCAACCGUCAGAGGUGAAAUUCUUGGACCGGUUGAAGACUAACUACUGCGAAAGCAUUCGCCAAGGAUGUUUUCAUUAAUCAGGGACGAAAGCUAGGGGAUCGAAGACGAUCAGAUACCGUCGUAGUCUUAGCCAUAAACUAUGCCGACUAGGGAUCGGGCGAUGUUAUUCUUUGACUCGCUCGGCACCUUACGAGAAAUCAAAGUGCUUGGGCUCCAGGGGGAGUAUGGUCGCAAGGCUGAAACUUAAAGAAAUUGACGGAAGGGCACCACCAGGGGUGGAGCCUGCGGCUUAAUUUGACUCAACACGGGGAAACCUACCAGGUCCAGACACAAUGAGGAUUGACAGAUUGAUAGCUCUUUCUUGAUUUUGUGGGUGGUGGUGCAUGGCCGUUCUUAGUUGGUGGAGUGAUUUGUCUGCUUAAUUGCGAUAACGAACGAGACCUUAACCUGCUAAAUAGCCAGCGCCGCUCCGGCGGCGCGCGGGCUUCUUAGAGGGACUAUCGGCUCAAGCCGAUGGAAGUUUGAGGCAAUAACAGGUUGGCCUUGCGCCCGCGCAACACAGGCCUGUAACAGUGGGCCUCGCUAAAGAUAACCGCUAGUCCAUGCGCCGCUCUCCUCGGGGAAGCCCCCGUCAUCGGGAGGAGACGCCGCCCAAGGGGGCGCGAGGCGCGGGCAACACCACCUGGUACAGGGGACGCCCAACCGGCGACGCCGGCGGCCGAUCCUGUGGCGAGCCCGGGCAGCGCCGGGCCGUCGCAACGCGCGCGAAGGGGUGGGCCGGGGGGGACCCGGCUUGAGGUACGUGCUAAUCCCCCGGGAAACCGGGCCCCCGCGGGAAGGCCCGAUGAGCCGAGCCGCGGGGGGGCGCCCGCCGGGCGGGCGCCGGUAC